rnacentral:rRNA from 1 species
UACGAAGGGGGCUAGCGUUGCUCGGAAUCACUGGGCGUAAAGCGCACGUAGGCGGAUUGUUAAGUCAGGGGUGAAAUCCUGGAGCUCAACUCCAGAACUGCCUUUGAUACUGGCGAUCUUGAGUCCGGGAGAGGUGAGUGGAAUUCCUGGUGUAGGAGUGAAAUCCGUAGAUAUCAGGAGGAACACCGGUGGCGAAGGCGGCUCUUCGUGGACCGAUAUUGACGCUGAGACGCGAAAGCGUGGGUAGCAAACAGG